UCUACCCUGUUGUGUGAAAAAUUAUGGUUUGUCGUUAGUUCUUUGAAUACGUAACGAUUUUGAUCGACUAAUCCUCUUUCUGAUCUUUCUGUGUUUUUGAUCGUUAUCUUUGACGGAUUGGGUUAGACAAUCAUCGAUUUCCAUUCACGAAUCAAGAUUACAUAUCUUCACGAUUUCCAUCCAACAACUGUUGUGUGAAAAAUUCUGGUUUGUCGAAUCAAGAUUAGAUAUCUCGACGGUUUCCAUCCAACAAUCGACAGCCUAUCAACAAAUACCGUCAAUUAACGACACCAACAUCAAUAGCCUGUCUAGGAAAUUUCGGAUUUUGGUUCCAUUCACGAAUCAAGAUUCGAUUUCUCCACGAUUACCAUCCACAAAUCAAUAAUCGAUUUAUGUCAACAACUACCGUCAAUUCCGCCACCAACCAUCAACAACCUGUGUGAGAAAUUUCGGUAUGUGCUUCGUUCUUUCAAUUUCCUUGGAUUUUGGUUUACUUGCACCUUUCUAAUCAUUCUGUCUUUUUGAGCAACGUCUACGACUUUUUGGGUGUGACUAUCAACAUCCCGUCCAAGAAUCAAGAUUAAGUUUGUGUCACCAACAACAUCUUCCAUCAAUUACCGCCACCAUAAGCCUGUUCUACGUUAUUGUUUACAAAAGUAAAGCCUUCUUCACAUGCCUCCAAAACGGCGACAUAUGGCUUCUACUUCCAAUACAAUAGUCCCCCGUCAAAUACGUCGUUCACGCAGGAGUUCACUUUUAGUGGAGAUACCAGCGUUGCCUUUUUAUUAUGACUGUGGAAAUUGUACCUGUGUAUGUGAGUAUUGUGGAGCUUAUUUUUGGUAUCAAGAGAGAGUAUUGUAUU